rnacentral:rRNA from 1 species
GACGAACGCUGGCGGCGUGCUUAACACAUGCAAGUCGAACGAUGAAGCUGGAGCUUGCUCCGGUGGAUUAGUGGCGAACGGGUGAGUAACACGUGAGUAAUCUGCCCUUGACUCUGGGAUAACUGCGGGAAACUGUAGCUAAUACCGGAUACGACACCUUCGGGCAUCCGAUGGGUGUGGAAAGAAUUUCGGUCAAGGAUGAACUCGCGGCCUAUCAGCUAGUUGGUGAGUUAAUGGCGCACCAAGGCGACGACGGGUAGCCGGCCUGAGAGGGUGACCGGCCACACGGGGACUGAGACACGGCCCAGACUCCUACGGGAGGCAGCAGUGGGGAAUAUUGCACAAUGGGCGAAAGCCUGAUGCAGCAACGCCGCGUGAGGGAUGAAGGCCUUCGGGUUGUAAACCUCUUUUAGUUGGGAAGAAGCGAAAGUGACGGUACCAACAGAAAAAGCACCGGCUAACUACGUGCCAGCAGCCGCCGUAA